CUCAAUGAAAUUAAAUAGCCGCAACGUUUUCUUGUGCUAAGGUAGCAUAAUCAUUUGUUUUUUAAUUGAAAACCAGAACGAAAGAUUUAACAUUUUUAUUUCUCUCUUAUAUAUAAAUAUUUAAUUUAUUUUAAAUAUAAAAAAAUAUUUAUAAAUAAAAAAGACGACAAGACCCUAUUAAACUUCACUAAAGUUCAACUGGGGCAGUUAAUUAAAUAUCAUUUUAAUUUAAAUCUUAAAACGACCUAAUAAAAUUAAAUUUAUCAAGUUACUAUAGGGAUAACAGCGCAAUAAAUUUCUCAAGAUCUUAUUCAAAAAUUAAUUUGCGACCUCGAUGUUGAAUUAAUAAUCUUUUAAAUGCAACAAUUUAACAAGAAAGUC
rnacentral:rRNA from 1 species